GGAGAAGGGGAGGAAGUGGUUUCAAAGGAGGAGGUCAGUUCAGGAAAGCCGGGGGAGGAAAUCCUUAAAGGCGCAUCCUGAGAGGAAGACCUGUCUGAAGUGUCUGCGCACAUUGGAGUUUCUAAAAGCAGGUUUCAGUCUGCUCUGCAUCUCCAGCAGUGACAGUCCUAACUGGGCUGCAAGUGAAUGCGUUCUUUAAUGCAGUCGUGGUUUCUGUCAGGGUUGAAAUGUGCCCAGAUGGAGGGACCCCGCUGUGCAAGCCUGACGGGAGCUCGGGGGUGAGUGUGGAGAAGUGAUGGGUGGGGAUCCGGUCUAACUGGACUCUUUCUCACCGCCGGGCUGCCGAGUUUUGGCACGCCACCGUCUCUCGGCUCAGGUUACAGGACUGCGGGUGCCCAUACGUACAUGAAUGGGGAAUCACAGUCUGCUCUGCAUACAACAACAGACUGGGUGAGAAACAGCAGCUGCCUCGCUCUAGAGAUUUGGAUGUCUCUUUUAGUCCUUUGUUUCUUUAAUAUAUAUAAAA